ensembl:lncRNA
AGGAGGACGAGGUCCGGGGGCUCAGCUCACAUCCGGGGCGGUUUAUUCUAAUCACCAAGUGUCCAACCCGGAAAAAGACGGCAUUCGGUCGCUUCACUUCAGUCCAGUCAGACAUUGAAGGCUAUCGUUGGCACUCCGAUAAAGUUUCAAUGAAGUGUCACCACUGCGCGGAUACACUUCGAUCAGACAGUGUCGGAUAAUGUCGUUUAAAAGGUGCGCUCCCAGCUGGUUUGACAGGUACCUUUUGAAUAGGUCCUUUUUCUGCAAACUGUUUAAGUCAGCUUUUUAGACAAUGUUAUCAAUCUCAGUGGUUCCUUAUGAAGAGUUUAUUAGGUCUUCGUCAUUGUAAGUCAUUCACAUUUGUUCCAUUCAAACACUGCUCAAACCGAAAUAUAAAAUGAAUUACGUCAUCAUGCAUUUGUUUUUACCUCCACAAAAUUAAUCGAUUCACAUGCUCUGUGUGUGUGUUUGUUCAGACAUUCAGAGCACUAUAAGCUUAUUGUGUAAAGGCUAAGGUCUCCUCAUUUUCGAGUAGGCCCUACCCAAUAAGGAACUAUCUUUCACAUCCUUAUAAUCUAGUGGACGACAGCUCAAAGUAUUUAACUAAUUUGAACAUUAAUGUUAAUAAAUAAAGUACACAAGACUCCGGAAACAAAGAAUCUGUACGUCUUCUGAGACUUCUGACAGGACUUUACUUUGUGCUGAGUUCUGAUGCUCUGAUCGACACCCAAUUCACAUUGUGCACCGCGUGCUAUGAGAUCGACACCCAAUUCACAUUGUGCACCGCGUGCUAUGAGAUCGACACCCUAUUCACAUUGUGCACCGCGUGCUAUGAGAUCGACACCCUAUUCACAUUGUGCACCGCGUGCUAUGAGAUCGACACCCAAUUC